CCCUUAGACGUUCUGGGCCGCACGCGCGCUACACUGACCAGUGCAACAAGCAUCCGUCCUUGGCCGACAGGCUCGGGCAAUCUUUGAACGCUGGUCGUGAUGGGGAUAGACUUUUGCAAUUUUUGGUCUUCAACGAGGAAUUCCUAGUAAACGCAAGUCAUCAACUUGCAUUGAUUACGUCCCUGCCCUUUGUACACACCGCCCGUCGCACCUACCGAUUGAAUGGUCCGGUGAAGCCUCCGGAUUGGCGCGCACCUCGGUGCCGCCGAGAAGUUGGCUAAACCUUACCAUUUAGAGGAAGGUGAAGUCGUAAC
rnacentral:rRNA from 1 species